rnacentral:rRNA from 1 species
GAUGAACGCUGGCGGCGUGCCUAAUACAUGCAAGUCGAGCGAAAAGACGAGGAGCUUGCUCCUCUGACGUUAGCGGAGGAGGGGUGAGUAACACGUGGAUAACCUACCUAUAAGACUGGGAUAACUUCGGGAAGCCGGAGCUAAUCGCGGAUAAUAUAUUGAACCGCAUGGUUCAAUAGUGAAAGACGGUUUUGCUGUCACUUAUAGAUGGUUCCGCGCCGCAUUAGCUAGUUGGUAAGGUAACGGCUUACCAAGGCAACGAUGCGUAGCCGACCUGAGAGGGUGAUCGGCCACACUGGAACUGAGACACGGUCCAGACUCCUACGGGAGGCAGCAGUAGGGAAUCUUCCGCAAUGGGCGAAAGCCUGACGGAGCAACGCCGCGUGAGUGAUGAAGGUCUUCGGAUCGUAAAACUCUGUUAUUAGGGAAGAACAAAUGUGUAAGUAACUAUGCACGUCUUGACGGUACCUAAUCAGAAAGCCACGGCUAACUACGUG